GUACAGUUUGCCUCUCAGAACCCAUUUUCCACUUUGACGAUGAGUAGUUCUUUUUGGAAAGUGAUGACAAUAUGAUUCCUUUUUCUAUUAGAGUCUGAAGAAUUCGGAGUUUGUUUUAUGAUUCCAGAGCAGCUCCUGAAAAAGUAUGAUCUUCUGGGUAACCCAUUCCAACGAAAGAACAGCCUUGAUCGCUAGAAUGUGUCUUAGUAUCAAGGUCAGAACAAUUU